CAGAAUGCGAGUCUCCCUGCAUCACCCUCAGGUGACACCUGCUCUUAGGCCACGAUGUGCACAGCGCUGUGGCGAUCACCAUGAUCCCAUGAAACAGGAAAACAUGGCCAGGACACACCACUCUUCAGUGUGACUAACAGGGAACAAAGUUCCAUAAUUAAGCUAAAAAGAACAUUGGGCAG